rnacentral:rRNA from 1 species
AACGAACGCUGGCGGCAGGCUUUAUACAUGCAAGUCGAACGAGAACGCUCCUUCGGGAGUUAUUAGAGUGGCGCACGGGUGAGUAACACGUAGGUGACCUAUCCUUUUGCGGGGGACAACCCGAGGAAACUCGGGCUAAUACCGCAUACGCUCGACGAAUUUGGAUUUAGUCGAGGAAAGAUGGCCUCUGUAUAUGCCAUCACAAAAGGAGGGGCCUGCGUGCCAUUAGUUUGUUGGUGGGGUAAUGGCCUACCAAGGCGAUGAUGGCUAGCUGGUCUGAGAGGAUGAUCAGCCACACUGGAACUGAGACACGGUCCAG